rnacentral:rRNA from 1 species
AUUGAACGCUGGCGGCAGGCCUAACACAUGCAAGUCGAGCGGAUGAAGGGUGCUUGCUCCUGGAUCCAGCGUCGGACGGGUGAGUAAUGCCUAGGAAUCUGCCUGGUAGUGCGGUAUAACGUCUGGAAACGGGCGCUAAUACUGCCUACGUCCUGCGGGUGAAAGUGGGGGAUCUUCGGACCUCACGCUAUCAGAUGAGCCUAGGUCGGAUUAGCUAGUUGGUGGGGUAAAGGCCUACUAAGGCGACGAUCCGUAACUGGUCUGAGAGGAUGAUCAGUCACACGGGAACUGAGACACGGUCCAGACUCCUACGGGAGGCAGCAGUGGGGAAUGGUGGACAAUGGGCGAAAGCCUGAUACAGCGAGGCCGCGUGUGUGAAGAAGGUCUUCGGAGUGGAAAGCACGUUAAGUUGGGAGGAAGCGCAGUAAGUUAAUACCUUGCGGUUUUGACGUUAACAACAGAAUAAGCACCGGCUAACUACGUG